CAACAACAGACUCGGUGAAAUUGUAAUUCCGGUGAAGAUGCCGGAUACCUGCGACAGGACGGAAAGACCCCAUGGAGCUUUACUGUAGCUUGACAUUGGGUCUUGGUACUACAUGUACAGGAUAGGUGGGAGGCUUUGAAACCAGGACGCCAGUUUUGGCGGAGCCAUCCUUGGGAUACCACCCUUGUAGUACUGGGACUCUAACCAUAGGCCAUGAAUCUGGUCUUGGGACACUGUCAGGUGGGCAGUUUGACUGGGGCGGUCGCCUCCCAAAAGGUAACGGAGGCGCUCAAAGGUUCUCUCAGUACGGUCGGAAAUCGUACGUAG
rnacentral:rRNA from 1 species